GCUGGGCAUGGUGACGCAUGCCUGUAGUCUCAGCUACUAGGGAGGCUGAGGCAGGAGAAUUGCUUGAACCCAGGAGGUGGAAGUUGCAGUGACCCGAGAUUGCACCACUGCACUGCAGCCUGGGUGACAGAGCAAGACUCUGCCUCUC
rnacentral:SRP_RNA from 1 species